rnacentral:lncRNA from 1 species
GAAGCACUCCUCCAGAGGGGCCCAUGGAGAGGUGCCCUCUCUUCAGGUCAGCUUCAGGCUCAGGCCACCUCUACAUGGAAGCAAAAUGGUUGUGACAUACUCAGAAGAGUGAAAGCUGCUGCUCCCCCAGAUACCACUUCAAGUCUCAGUCACUCUGGUCAAAGUGAUCCUGUAGCCAAGAGCUGCAGGAUGGAUUACCCAGGCCAGGAAGACUGAAUUGAAGUCUCAACCAAGUCCCAGAGGGAUCUGCAGAGCCAGCAGGAAACUAAGGCAAAAGCAUCCUAAAUGAGGCAGAGCGUGGGUAGAUUUUUGACCUUGCUUCUCUUGCUGCAUAAAUGUGUCCAUACGAUUGUGAAAAGGAAAAGGGUGCCAACAGUCAUUAACUAACAUCGAGAACCACUUGGAUUACUUCCUUCGGGCAAGCCUUAUUACCAGACGAUCGAACCUUCUGGGUUUGACAGCAGCAAUGACUUCACAUGGUACCAUCUCCUCUUCAACUUCUUUCCUAAAGGAACAGAUGAAGCCACACUUGUUAAUU